GUGCUCGAUUUUUCAGCACAUAUACUAAAAUUGGAAUGACAGAGAGAGAGAAAUUAGCAUGGUUUCUGCAGAAGGAUGACAUUUGCAUGUCAUAUUCAUGUAAUAUUCCA